UUAACCCUACGGGACGCAGCAGUGGGGAAUAUUGCACAAUGGGGGAAACCCUGAUGCAGCGACGCCGCGUGAGUGAAGAAGUAUUUCGGUACGUAAAGCUCUAUCAGCAGGGAAGAAAGAAAGUCCUUUGGACUUUGGACGGUACCUGACCAAGAAGCCCCGGCUAACUACGUGCCAGCAGCCGCGGUAAUACGUAGGGGGCAAGCGUUAUCCGGAUUUACUGGGUGUAAAGGGAGCGUAGACGGCGCGGCAAGUCUGAAGUGAAAGGCAGGGGCUUAACCCCUGAACUGCUUUGGAAACUGCCA
rnacentral:rRNA from 1 species